rnacentral:rRNA from 1 species
CCUACGGGAGGCAGCAGUGGGGAAUUUUGGACAAUGGGCGCAAGCCUGAUCCAGCCAUGCCGCGUGCGGGAAGAAGGCCUUCGGGUUGUAAACCGCUUUUGUCAGGGAAGAAAUCCCUUGAGCUAAUACCUCGGGGGGAUGACGGUACCUGAAGAAUAAGCACCGGCUAACUACGUGCCAGCAGCCGCGGUAAUACGUAGGGUGCAAGCGUUAAUCGGAAUUACUGGGCGUAAAGCGUGCGCAGGCGGUUAUGUAAGACAGGUGUGAAAUCCCCGGGCUUAACCUGGGAACUGCACUUGUGACUGCAUAGCUUGAGUGCGGCAGAGGGGGAUGGAAUUCCGCGUGUAGCAGUGAAAUGCGUAGAUAUGCGGAGGAACACCGAUGGCGAAGGCAAUCCCCUGGGCCUGCACUGACGCUCAUGCACGAAAGCGUGGGGAGCAAACAGGAUUAGAUACCCUGGUAGUCCACGCCCUAAACGAUGUCAACUGGUUGUUGGACGGCUUGCUGUUCAGUAACGUAGCUAACGCGUGAAGUUGACCGCCUGGGGAGUACGGCCGCAAGGUUGAAACUCGAAAGGAAUUGACGG